rnacentral:snoRNA from 1 species
UGGAAGUGAUGAAAUAGAGAUAAUUGGAUGUCUCUUUGAAUGGAGUGUGUGUGAUACAUGGAAAUUAAGCCAAAUGGGGGUGGGGAAUAUGUGUGUGUGUGUGUGUGUGCAUGUAUAGAAGAGGCUUUAAACGGGGGCACUGAUAAUGCGGUGCUGAUUCCGGAGUGCAUCUGAGGCAUGUUGGUCACUUCUGGGGUGCAACUUUACAACAUUGCCGAUGAUUAAAGCCCAAAGCAAGCCCACCGAGACAAGCCUAAGCAUCCUAAAUCUCUGACAGGUUCAUUAUCAAAAGUGAUCCUGUGAUCUGAUCUGA